CAAGCUAACCUUGCCAAAUACAUUUGAGCCAUUUUAACCAAAAGAGAUAUUCUUUGGGUGAAAUGGGUUAACAAUGUUUAUUUGAAGAAUUCUUCCUUUUGGUCCUAUGAUCUUAAGCUUGACUCUAGCUGGUAUUGUAAGAAGUUAUGUCACUUGAGGGACAAGUUCUCGAGCGGGAACAUCCAAGCUGCCGGAACUGGUGGGAAGUUCAGAACCAACUGGCUGUAUAACAGCCUCAUUACACAACAACAAUUCCAUUACAAAAACAGUGUUUGGAGCUCUUUAAACGUUCCCAAGAAUCGAUUCAUCUUAUGGCAAGUUGUAAAUAUUCAGCUUUUUGACCCGAGACAAACUUGGACAAUUUCAUGUUGAUUUAGAUACUAAAGAAUGCCCUGUUUACGGGUUGGCUGAGGAAUCGCAACAGCACUUAUUUUUCAACUGCUGUCUGUCAAGAGAGGUGAUUUUUUUGGUGCAUAAUUGGGUUGGCAGCAAAGCUUGGCCCACUGAUUUUAAAGGCUGGAGAAGCUGACUGGCUUGGUAGUCAAAGAACAGGAAGCAAAGGCUCGUGAUGAUCAAGGCUUGCUCAUUGAAGGAAGCACCAGAUUUUACCAAGGUUCAGUCUCUCAUGAACUUCUAAAGGAAUGAGAUUUCGUGAGGCUCUUAGUUGGAUGAAAGAUCAUAAAUGGUAUCAUGUGGUUCUUGCAACAAAUUGUUUGACCGUGGUACAAGUUUUACGGAGUUCUAGUAGGAUGAUCUUUACUUUUGGUCAGGUAAUUAAUGAUUGUAAGCAAUUGCUUUGUGAUUUGAGAAAUAUUGAUAUUUUCUUUGUUAAAUGAUCAACUAACAUGUUAAUUUAUAACUUUGUUAGAGCUUUUGUAUUAUAUUUGAUUGUUGCAUAAAUUUGGAGGAUAAUCUAACUGACUUGCUUCUU